rnacentral:tRNA from 1 species
GGGCCCGUAGAUCAAUGGCAGAUCGCCACCUUUGCAACAAGAUAUCAAGCAAAAUAGGUGGAGGCUCUGGGUUCAAAUCCCAGCGGGUCCA